rnacentral:rRNA from 1 species
CCUACGGGUGGCUGCAGUGGGGAAUUUUGGACAAUGGGGGCAACCCUGAUCCAGCCAUGCCGCGUGCGGGAAGAAGGCCUUCGGGUUGUAAACCGCUUUUGUCGGGGAAGAAAUCCUCUGGGCUAAUACCUCGGGGGCAUGACGGUACCCGGAGAAUAAGCACCGGCUAACUACGUGCCAGCAGCCGCGGUAAUACGUAGGGUGCAAGCGUUAAUCGGACUUACUGGGCGGAAAGUGUACGACAGAUGUGAAAUCCCCGGGCUCAACCCAGGAACUGCAUUUGUGACUGCAAGGCUGGAGUGCGGCAGAGGGGGAUGGAAUUCCGCGUGUAGCAGUGAAAUGCGUAGAUAUGCGGAGGAACACCGAUGGCGAAGGCAAUCCCCUGGGCCUGCACUGACGCUCAUGCACGAAAGCGUGGGGAGCAAACAGGAUUAGAUACCCCGGUAGUC